rnacentral:tRNA from 1 species
GGGUGAAUAGACUUUUAUGUUCAUUAUUUUGCAAAAGUAGUGUUAAGGGCCCCGUUCCCUUUUCACCCU